rnacentral:rRNA from 1 species
GAUGAACGCUGGCGGCGUGCCUAAUACAUGCAAGUCGAGCGGACGGACGAGAAGCUUGCUUCUCUGAUGUUAGCGGCUGACGGGUUGGUAACACGUGGAUAACCUACCUAUAAGACUGGGAUAACUUCGGGAAACCGUAUCUAAUACCGAAUAAUAUUUUGAACCUGAUGGUUCAAAAGUGAAAGACGGUCUUGCUGUCACUAAUAGAUUGAUCCGCGCUGCAUUAGCUAGUUGGUAAGGUAACGGCUUACCAAGGCAACGAUGCAUAGACGACCUGAGAGGGUGAUCGGCCACACGUGAACUGAGACACGGUCCCGACUCCUAAGGGAGGCAGCAGUAGGGAAUCUUCCGCAAUGGGCGAAAGCCUGAAGGAGCAACGGCGCGUGAGUGAUGAAGGUCUACGGAUCGUAAAACUAUGUUAUUAGGGAAGAACAUAUGUGUAAGUAACUGUGCACAGCUUGAGGGUACCUAAUCAGAAAGCCACGGCAAACUACGU